GCGGCCGUAGCUCAGUGGGAGAGCACCUGCCCGACACGCAGGGGGUCACUGGUUCAAUCCCAGUCGGCCGCACCA
rnacentral:tRNA from 1 species